GGACGAACGCUGGCGGCGUGCUUAACCCAUGCAAGUCGAACGGAAAGGCCCUGCUUUUGUGGGGUGCUCGAGUGGCGAACGGGUGAGUAACACGUGAGUAACCUGCCCUUGACUUUGGGAUAACUUCAGGAAACUGGGGCUAAUACCGGAUAGGAGCUCCUGCUGCAUGGUGGGGGUUGGAAAGUUUCGGCGGUUGGUGAUGGACUCGCGGCUUAUCAGCUUGUUGGUGGGGUAGUGGCUUACCAAGGCUUUGACGGGUAGCCGGCCUGAGAGGGUGACCGGCCACAUUGGGACUGAGAUACGGCCCAGACUCCUACGGGAGGCAGCAGUGGGGAAUAUUGCACAAUGGGCGGAAGCCUGAUGCAGAAACGCCGCGUGCGGGAUGACGGCCUUCGGGUUGUAAACCGCUUUCGCCUGUGACGAAGCGUGAGUGACGGUAAUGGGUAAAGAAGCACCGGCUAACUACGUG
rnacentral:rRNA from 1 species